rnacentral:rRNA from 1 species
UACGUAGGGUGCAAGCGUUUAAUCGGAAUUACUGGGCGUAAAGCGUGCGUAGACGGUUAUGUAAGUCAGAUGUGAAAGCCCCGGGCUCAACCUGGGAAUUGCAUUUGAGACUGCAUAGCUAGGGUGCGGAGGAGGGAAGCGGAAUUUCCGGUGUAGCGGUGAAAUGCGUAGAUAUCGGAAGGAACACCAGUGGCGAAAGCGGCUUCCUGGUCCAGCACCGACGUUCAGGCACGAAAGCGUGGGGAGCAAACAGG